ensembl:snRNA U2 U2 spliceosomal RNA
GUAGCUUCUCAGCCAUGUGGCUAAGAACAAAUGUGGGAUCUCUUCUUAUCACUUUAAUAUCUGUUAUGUCCUCUAUCUGAGGACAACCUGUUAAAUGGAUAUUUGGAGAUGGAGCAAAGAGAUGGAAAAGGAGCUUUCUACAUCUACUUCAUGCACAAACCUGACAUUGCAAUAUCUCUAGGUAUGGCCCUCUCA